rnacentral:piRNA from 1 species
AUUGAGAAGCUUGGAUCUAAAGACAGAUA